UCAGCAACGGAUCUCUUGGCUCUCGCAUCGAUGAAGAACGCAGCGAAUUGCGAUAAGUAAUGUGAAUUGCAGAUUUUCAGUGAAUCAUCGAAUCUUUGAACGCACCUUGCGCUCCUUGGUAUUCUGAGGAGCAUGCCUGUUUGAGUGUCAUU
rnacentral:rRNA from 1 species